CACUGGGCAAGCAGCCACCCCCACUUGGGGACCUACAGCUUAAGUCCUCCACACCAGACUCUUGAUCACUGUUGGCUGAGAGCAAGUGAUCCAAACUUAACAGCACAAAAUCUUGGAAUGGAAGAAGUUAAAGCAACUGUAAAUUUAGAAAUGACAGACAAGAACAGGACUGAAAGAGGCAUUUUCCAGUGGAAGAAGAAAUUCCCAAACUGGCAAGAAUAGAUGUGAUGCUGUAUGUGGAUGAGGAAUCUUUCAUUGAAUUCAAAGGCACAAGGAAACUGUUCC